rnacentral:rRNA from 1 species
UACGAAGGGUGCAAGCGUUACUCGGAAUCACUGGGCGUAAAGCGUGCGUAGGCGGUUCGUUAAGUCUGUUGUGAAAGCCCUGGGCUCAACCUGGGAACUGCAGUGGAUACUGGCGAGCUAGAGUACGGUAGAGGAAGGUGGAAUUCCCGGUGUAGCGGUGAAAUGCGUAGAGAUCGGGAGGAACACCAGUGGCGAAGGCGGCGCUCUGGGCUGGAACUGACGCUGAGGAGCGAAAGCGUGGGGAGCAAACAGG